rnacentral:rRNA from 1 species
CCUAUGGGAGGCAGCAGUGGGGAAUAUUGCACAAUGGGGGGAACCCUGAUGCAGCGACGCCGCGUGAGUGAAGAAGUAUUUCGGUAUGUAAAGCUCUAUCAGCAGGGAAGAAGAUGACGGUACCUGACUAAGAAGCCCCGGCUAACUACGUGCCAGCAGCCGCGGUAAUACGGAGGGGGCAAGCGUUAUCCGGAUUUACUGGGUGUAAAGGGAGCGUAGACGGCAGGGCAAGUAUGGAGUGAAAGCCCGGGGGCCAACCCCGGUACUGCUUGGGAAACUGCCAUGCUAGAGUGCUGGAGAGGUAAGCGGAAUUCCUAGUGUAGCGGUGAAAUGCGUAGAUAUUAGGAGGAACACCAGUGGCGAAGGCGGCUUACUGGACAGUAACUGACGUUGAGGCUCGAAAGCGUGGGGAGCAAACAGGAUUAGAUACCCGGGUAGUC